AGACCCGAAACCCGGUGAUCUAGCCAUGGGCAGGUUGAAGGUUGGGUAACACUAACUGGAGGACCGAACCGACUAAUGUUGAAAAAUUAGCGGAUGACCUGUGGCUGGGGGUGAAAGGCCAAUCAAACCGGGAGAUAGCUGGUUCUCCCCGAAAGCUAUUUAGGUAGCGCCUCGUGAAUUCAUCUCCGGGGGUAGAGCACUGUUUCGGCUAGGGGGCCAUCCCGGCUUACCAACCCGAUGCAAACUGCGAAUACCGGAGAAUGUUAUCACGGGAGACACACGGCGGGUGCUAACGUCCGUCGUGAAGAGGGAAACAACCCAGACCGCCAGCUAAGGUCCCAAAGUCAUGGUUAAGUGGGAAACGAUGUGGGAAGGCCCAGACAGCCAGGAUGUUGGCUUAGAAGCAGCCAUCAUUUAAAGAAAGCGUAAUAGCUCACUGGUCGAGUCGGCCUGCGCGGAAGAUGUAACGGGGCUAAACCAUGCACCGAAGCUGCGGCAGCGACGCUGAUGCGUUGUUGGGUAGGGGAGCGUUCUGUAAGCCUGCGAAGGUGACCUGUGAGGGUUGCUGGAGGUAUCAGAAGUGCGAAUGCUGACAUAAGUAACGAUAAAGCGGGUGAAAAGCCCGCUCGCCGGAAGACCAAGGGUUCCUGUCCAACGUUAAUCGGGGCAGGGUGAGUCGACCCCUAAGGCGAGGCCGAAAGGCGUAGUCGAUGGGAAACGGGUUAAUAUUCCCGUACUUGGUGUUACUGCGAAGGGGGGACGGAGAAGGCUAUGUUGGCCGGGCGACGGUUGUCCCGGUUUAAGCGUGUAGGUGUGUGUUCCAGGUAAAUCCGGUU
rnacentral:rRNA from 1 species